AUGCUUCACUUCCGGAGCUGUAGCACGUAAUUUCCUUCCACUGCAUCUGAGUUAGUGAACAAACCCCCUCUAUAUACGCACGUUAUUCGUCCAGGAAGAGUCAAUAUACAACAGGCCCGCGUUCCACAUCUGGCCCGCCCAAGUUUUUCAUUUGGCCUGCCGAAUAGGCUCGAUGAAAGCAUUAAAACUAGGGUUGAUCGUGUAUGCAGUACUCCCGCCAGCCCGCGGGGCGACAGCGAGUGUUAUGUGUCACAGUGACGCAGCAGUAGGGUGAGUAGAAGAAGACUACUCAAUUCAACCCUGGAAAACAAAUCUAAAUAAAUUGCUAAAAAUCGGACUUUUAACGACGACUGUACAACAAAGAAUGAAUGUUCUACCCUGAGCAAGUAUUCGAGUCGUUGUUUUCUGGCGGACCUUUUAAGCGAUGGACACAUCGAUCCAGACAAGCAGCAUACAGUCUUCACAGUCUGGAAAACCUUGGACACGCAUAGCCUCUCAUCACCUGAAGAGUUCAAGGAAACAAGACAAGGUUUUUCAUGGGACACAUUUAUUUUUCUAUUAGAAAUGGCAACAGCGGAGGAUGAAUGUCCCAUAACAAGAAGAUAGAGAAAAAGAAGAAGCUUAUCGACUACAAAGGCGGAAGCGCGCACAUUUUCAGGACUUAUGCAGAUCCCAAAUACAGAUCAGCAGGUACCAGAAGGUUGAAGCCCAUGGCGGCCGUCAUGGCCUUGCGGGUGUUUCUGGCGGCACCCAGCUGAGCCAUGGCCAGCACGGAGGAGACGCCGUAGGGGGACAAGACCACAUUGCUGUCCCCGGUGGCUCUUGCCAAGUGGGAGAAGACCUUCAGCCCAAAGUCGGUGUGCUUGUCUGACAGCGAUGCUUGUCCGCCUCUGCCAGUGCUCAGUAGGAC